GUAACCUGAGGUAAUUUCCAGAGUGUUUGAAUUGAAACUUUAAUGAAGAAUAUACACUUAUUUGUCCCCUAAGCUGCAAGAGAGCACAGCCAUGAGGAAUGAUCAGCAGAUCAGAACUCAUUGCUCACUGCAAAAUCCUUCAGGAAUAAAACAAAACCAAAAUCCAAUACUUAUGGCAGACAAAUUUUAGACACUGGAUUUAGGGAUAUUUGCUUUAAUCACCUUGACAAAAAGGCUUCCCUUCCUGCAUCCAUCAGAGAGCUGAAGGAGUUAGCAGAACGUGUGGGACCUACCCAGUGCUGGACCUGCAGUGAAAACCAUGUGAUGCUGGAGCAGCCACCUGUGUCAAGUCCCAGUCAUGGACUCCAUAUGACUGAUGGUUCUGAAGGCUUUAAGAAAUCCAUCAGUGUUGCUGUGGAUUUGUCAACUCUUAUGAUAUGAAUAUUUGACAAACAGGAGGCUCUUCAUAGUGUUUAUCUUUGCUAUACUGACCUUAAUACAGGAAUAAAAGUCCUGGGAUUCUGAAGC